AUUACUUGAGCGAUUACGUUUAGGCAAUGACAGUGAUGAUGAAAGCGUUCCUCCUUUGGAGCACGCCGUUGAUGAUAUCGACGGACGUGAUAGCGAUGAUGAGACUUACGAUCCAGCUAAUCCCGAUCUUGAAGAGUAUUUCUAAUACAUGUGAUAGAUCAAAGAUGGCGGGGCGCGGCGGAGGUAUGAUGCAGUCGUUGGAGGCUGUGCUGCGCAGAGUUGCUGGGAGAGGUGAGUUCUCCCAGAUGGCUGGAGGGAGGACGAGGAGGAGGAGGGUAAGGCAAGUUCGUCGGUGCCUCCACUAGAUGAGGACGCUGGCACGUCACAGACGACGAGGAGCAGCCGGAGUAGCAGGAGGACGAGGGGGCCUCGCGCGAGGUCACCCUCCCCUGAGGACGAGGAGGAGCAGGAGCAGGACCAGGAGGAGGACCAGCAGGAGCAGGAGGAGGAGGACCAGGAGCAGGACCAGGAGGAGGACUAGCAGCAGCAGGACCAGGACCAGGAGGAGGAGGAGGAGGAGGAGGCCUCUAGUGAGGAGGACGACGACCACGGAGGAGUGGCAGGAGACAUACCUGCCGUCUGGAUGUGAGGCCCCGCUCGUCUCCCGAACUGACCUAUACCGCUCGAGCAACGGCCGAUUAUUCGGCCGGACGGUAAAAGGAAUUUUGUAAUCGUUGUUCCAGGUGUUCACAAACGCAUCCCCAAUGGCAUUCUGGGCCUGCUUUGCAAGGACCACUACCCUGGAUGCAUCGAGAUUGAUGGCCGUCUUCAGCCGGCGUCGGCUUGGGAGCACUACAUCCAAGCCAUCGAUAGACCGGACCGAGAAGGCAGGUGCUUUGCGAGCAAAGCAGAGCGGGUGUUGCAGGAAC